CAGCCGCCGCGGGAAUACGUAGGUGGCAAGCGUUGUCCGGAAUUAUUGGGCGUAAAGGGCUCGCAGGCGGUUUCUUAAGUCUGAUGUGAAAGCCCCCGGCUCAACCGGGGAGGGUCAUUGGAAACUGGGAAACUUGAGUGCAGAAGAGGAGAGUGGAAUUCCACGUGUAGCGGUGAAAUGCGUAGAGAUGUGGAGGAACACCAGUGGCGAAGGCGACUCUCUGGUCUGUAACUGACGCUGAGGCACGAAAGCGUGGGGAGCAAACAGGAUUAGAUACCCGGGUAGUCCCUGUCUCUUAUAC
rnacentral:rRNA from 1 species